rnacentral:rRNA from 1 species
GAUGAACGCUGGCGGCGUGCCUAAUACAUGCAAGUCGAGCGAACGGACGAGAAGCUUGCUUCUCUGAUGUUAGCGGCGGACGGGUGAGUAACACGUGGAUAACCUACCUAUAAGACUGGGAUAACUUCGGGAAACCGGAGCUAAUACCGGAUAAUAUUUUGAACCGCAUGGUUCAAAAGUGAAAGACGGUCUUGCUGUCACUUAUAGAUGGAUCCGCGCUGCAUUAGCUAGUUGGUAAGGUAACGGCUUACCAAGGCAACGAUGCAUAACCGACCUGAGAGGGUGAUCGGCCACACUGGAACUGAGACACGGUCCAGACUCCUACGGGAGGCAGCAGUAGGGAAUCUUCCGCAAUGGGCGAAAGCCUGACGGAGCAACGCCGCGUGAGUGAUGAAGGUCUUCGGAUCGUAAAACUCUGUUAUUAGGGAAGAACAUAUGUGUAAGUAAAUGUGCACAUCUUGACGGUACCUAAUCAGAAAGCCACGGCUAACUACGUG